UUCAAUUCUUAAAUUAACAUUUAAACAUCCCUGUUUUUAUUUAUUUUUCUCAUUUUUUUGGAUUGGAACUUUGAGCUGAAUUUGAAAGUUAAACUUUGGACUUUGAGCAGUAGCUUGUUUUAAAACCAAACUGAUAUAUGUUUAUGGGAACUGGCUUGGAAAGUUAGUUGCAAGUUGUUUAUAAUUCUAAGAACACCACAGAAGUUUUGGCACCUGAGAUAUAUUAUGCUCAAGGACCGGCAGCUGCUUAAAAGGGUCAACAGAGAGAAUGUUGGAAACAAAAAGAAAUAUGAAAGAUUGAACUGGUUUUGAUUGUCUUUUUUUCUUGGCAGAAGGUAGUGUGGCUGUGAAAACUGCUGGAAAUGUUUUGGUUGCUCUCUUGAAUUCCUCCAGUUAUCAAAUUUUUAAAAGUUCUGAGGAAAGAACUGCAGUCUGUGUAACAUAAGUAAAAGUCUCCACAGUCUGUGAAAUCCAUUUGUAUUGACCAGUGACUUUAGAAUCAAGUCCCACAUACCUGUAAACAACUCAUUAUCCAAGGAAUGCAUGAAGGCUUAGCAACUAUCAUUUAUAGAAUCAUAGAAUCCCUACAGUAGGUAAGCAGGCCAUUUGGCCCAUUGUGUCCACAGUACCCAUCCAAAGGACAUCCCAGACCCACCCACCUACCCUGUCCCUGUAACCCUGCAUUUCCCAUGGCUAAUCCAUCUUGCCUGCACAUCCCUGGACACUAUGGGCAAUUUAGCAUGACCAACCCACCUUACCUAAUUUGAAACUGUUUAAGUGAACAAGCCAGUCACGACUUUUUAAAUUUUUAUUUUAUUUCAUCCCUUUAGAGUGUGUGUGUGUGCGCACAUGUCUGUGUAUCUUUGUGAGUAUGGGGAUUUAUGAUCAAAGAAGAUUGGGUUUAAAUUGUAGACAUUAAUUUGAAUGGGGGCAUCAGUUAGAUCAGUUGGUUGGAUCGUUGGUGAGUGAAGGCAACAGCGUGAGUUCAAUUUCCACUUCAGCAGAGAUUACCAUCAAGGAUUCUCCUUCUCAAACUUUUUCCUUCCCUGAGUAUGCUGACCUUCGGUUAAAACCAUCAUCAAAACCUUCACCAGUCAUCUCUCUCUCUAUUGAGACAGCAGCCCUCUUGUUUGACUAUCUGUACUCAAAGUUGAUAAAGUCACUGGGACUGCAUGGGAUUCAUCCAGGAUCUAACAACAGGAAAAAAUUGGUCUCCCAGUUGGUGUUCAUCCUUCUGCAGCAUGAUAGAGAUCAGGGCUAGUUUCUCCUCUAUCUGUUUACCCAACAUCUUGCAAGAGUUCGCGAGCCCCUUCACCAGGGCCUGGAAAGAAAUAGAGUCUGCGGAUCCUGCAGGCUGGGCCGGGGGCCUGGCCUCGUACGCUCCUCCUCUCUUCUUCGGCAUCUCUGGACGGCAAAAACUCAG